rnacentral:rRNA from 1 species
UACGUAGGGUGCGAGCGUUAAUCGGAAUUACUGGGCGUAAAGCGUGCGCAGGCGGUUCGUUGUGUCGGCGGUGAAAGCCCCGGGCUCAACCUGGGAAUGGCCGUUGAAACUGGCGAACUGGAGUGUGGCAGAGGGCAGUGGAAUUCCCGGUGUAGCGGUGAAAUGCGCAGAUAUCAGGAGGAACACCAACGGCGAAGGCAGCACUCUGGGCCGGAACUGACGCUGAGGAGCGAAAGCGUGGGUAGCGAACAGG